GACGAACGCUGGCGGCGUGCUUAACACAUGCAAGUCGAGCGGGAAACUUCGGUUUCCAGCGGCGGACGGGUGAGUAACACGUGGGCAACCUGCCUCACAAUGAGGGAUAGCCUUCCGAAAGGAAGAUUAAUACCACAUAACACAAGAGAAACGCAUGUUUCUCUUGCCAAAGAAUUUCGUUGUGAGAUGGGCCCGCGGCGCAUUAGCUUGUUGGUGAGGUAACGGCUCACCAAGGCUUCGAUGCGUAGCCGACCUGAGAGGGUGAUCGGCCACAUUGGAACUGAGACACGGUCCAGACUCCUACGGGAGGCAGCAGUGGGGAAUAUUGCACAAUGGAGGAAGCUCUGAUGCAGCAACGCCGCGUGAGUGAUGAAGGUCUUCGGAUUGUAAAGCUCUGUCUUCUGGGACGAUAAUGACGGUACCAGAGGAGGAAGCCACGGCUAACUACGUGCCAGCAGCCGCCGUAA
rnacentral:rRNA from 1 species